AACUGAAGAAUGAAUUCUAAGGAACAACAGAGGUUAAGAAUAGGGAAGAUUGGGCCGGGGAUUUAGCUCAGUGGUUUCGUCGCCUGCUGCACAAGCGCAAGGACCUGAGUUCGAUCCCCAGUACCAAAAAAAAAAAAAAUAGGGAAGAUUUAUUGAGAGGUAGCUGCUGAGAGACAGGAAGGGGCCUGAAAGUGGCUGCCACUGAGGCCAUUUCUCCAACAGUGUAUUAUAGAGUAAAAUUCUGAGGUGAGUACAACGUGGGUCACACUGUAAUCAGUCAGUAAGAUUACAAGUAUAGCCGAUUAGCUAAUAUUGAUCUGAAAGAGAAGCGGGUCUCAUAGCAGGGGUACAUGGAAAGAACAAAGGCAUUUUUGGGAAGGGAUGGCCCAGAUGCUCGGAUCACCCAGCUGGGCGACUGAUGUCUAUCUGGACUUUACUGGACCAGAUGACACCAAUUAUAGUGCAACUCCUAGUUGCUGUUGGGAGGCAUACAGGCCUGGUCACUGCAUCUUUAUCUUGUGCCUUGGCCUUCUUCAGAUGCACCUCCAGCCACAGUUCUGAUGUCUUUAUUUUUUCUGCUCUCUUCCUUGACAGCCCAGCCCCUCUCUGACUGUAUAUUCAUUUCCAUCUAACUUAGCUGCCUGCAGUAGGAGGCCACCUUAGGUCUUCUCCCAUCUCUUACACACCUGCUCAGUGGCUCUGGUCCAUUUGGUCAUCAGGCAGAUGUGUCCCGGGUCCUUUUACCUGCUGGGCCUGGUGCCCAAGCCUUGUGAUGGAGCCCCAGCCCGCCCAGGGGGUGAGGAAGGCUGUUGCAGGGUGGAGUCCCAGGAAAGCUCCCGGAGGUCUUGGUUUUCUUCUGCUUUCUCACUGUUGGGCCGUCAAGGGGCCUGGAGAGGAGGGGAGCGGUUUGGAACUUGAGAGGGGCUUGCUCCCCUAGAAGGCUGCCGCUCUGCUCCUUAACUUUCCUAGAGGUCACCCCUCCACUUCCCUCCUCUUCCUGCCCCUCCUCUCCAGGUGAGCCUUCAGGCGGCUCUCCUGAUUGAGCUUCUGUUUGCCAGCUACACAGAGUGCUCCGGGGGCACCGGGCAGGAGGAUUUGAGUAGGGAGAGUUAGACCCUGUCCCCUGGCCCUUGCUUCUGCUCCAGAAGUCAGAGGAGGGGAGCUCCCCAGAUCUGGCAUGGAGGAGUGGCCACUGGGAUCUGUCACUCUCAAGCGUGGAUGAGAAGUGCACCUUGGGGCUUAGGACCAGCCGAGUCAGGGAAAGUGGCACCGAACCACUUCUUGUUCCAGGGCCUCCCUGAGUCUGGGGACCAGGCCCUGGAGGGAAGGGCUGGUGGCUGGAGUUGGCAUCAUGGGAGUCCAACCCCACCCUGGGCACCUGGAAUGGGCAGUGGGGGAGACUGAGGCAUGGGGGAUAAGACAGUGGGGCUUAGGAGGACGGGGAACUCCUCAGGUUGGGCUGGGCUGGGAAUGCUAAAAGGUAGGGGUGGCAAGAGUGCUUGGACCCCCAGGACAGAGUGGACUGGAAAAGAGGGGGAGUACGGGCUCCACAACCUAAGAACAGAGGGGCGGUGGGCGGGCGAGCGAGCGAGCGGGCUGCUUCCUUCCCAACUCCUUAACUCCUUUCAAUGAAUACUUCCUUGGCCCAGCCCCCAGUUACCUGGCUGAGGGCCUCCCGGACCGGGGAGGCUGCUCCACAGUUCCGGGGUUGUGGGAGGAUGGGGAAAUUCCUCUCCCCGCCUUAGAAGGUCUUGCUCCUGCUAGAGAGAACUGAGGAGCCUGGGGAAGGCAGGUGCCAUGACUGAUGGACGCUGGAGAGCUGCAAUUAAUUUUAAACAAGGUUGCCUGGACUUGGAGAACAAGGGCAGGUCAUGGGUGAGGCUGGGCUGCCAAAGUCUCUGUUUGCCCAGGGAGGACCUGGUCCCUUGAGUACUCACAGCAGGGCCCCUGGGCUGAGUGCUCCUUGGAAAGAUAAAGAAGUGCAGGUGCCUGCCUCUGCUUGAGAUGCUUCGGUUGGCCUCGGAUGAGUGAGGGGUGGUGUCGAGGGGCACCAGAGCCAGCCCUUGGCCUCUGUGGUCCGUGCAGAGGACCAGCUGGUGUUCGGCAUGCCUGGGAUGAGGGGGAGGAAGAGGAAGGCUCCGCAGCUCUGAGUGGUGCGAAGUUCUGUCCUCCGCUGUCCCUCCUCUUUUUCCUCUACCUCCUCCCCUCCUCCUUCGCUCCUCCUCUUCUCCUCUACUUUAUUUUAGUUUUGGGUUCUUGAAGCGGGGUCUCAGUGUAGCCCUGCUGGCCUCCAGCCCCAUCCCUCUGCCUCCGUCUCCAAGUGCUUGAGUGAUUACGGGCCUGGGCCACCAUGCCGACCCUUCCCCACCUCUUCUGAUAGUUGACUUGAUUUUCCCUGGUUUGUUUUUCAUUUUUGUUUCUGUGUUUUUGUACUGACAAUUGAACUCGGCCCAGCACCUUUACACUAAGGUAUAUUCCCAGCUGUAAAAAAUUGUUUUUUAACUUUCAUCUUGAGACAGUCUCACUGGGCAGCUAAGUUACGAAGAAGGCCGUGCUGGGAUUUACAGUCCUCUUGCCUCAGCCUCCUACAGCGCCGAGAUGACGGAUGUGCACCAUCACACCCGGCUGAGUUUCCCUUUCGUAGUCGCCUCUCAGCAGAGCUCACUGCAGUGGGAGCCGCUGUCAGGAAGCGAGACCCGGAGGCCGCUGCUGGGCCCAGCAGUGUGGGCUUUGCUGCCUGUGCGGACCUCUCUGCCGAGAAUGGAAGCCUGUGGGGAUGUGGGGCAACGGAAAGGCCGCCCAGGACGUGGCGGGGUCAUUGGCUGGGCGGUGCAGUUUGAAGCCCCUGUGAGACCCGGACCUGGGACUCCCCCACUGCUCUGAGAGAGUUGCAGUGGCCUGUGGGGAACCCUCUUCCCCCCUGAAUGCUGGGCUCGGGGAGAAGCUCUCAGGGGAGGUCUUCAGACCUAGGUCACCAAGGGUUUCAGGGACAGAUUGAACCCAGCCUGGCAGAGUGCAGCGUUUUCCUCCCUUCGCCUCUGUCCCUGCCCUGGGCUGGGGGUUGUGGCACAACAGCUCAGGAGCAGGAGGUGGGAGUCGGAAUCGGAAGUGUCACUCGCAGCAAAGGGGAACUGAGCCAGGCCGGGCAGAGGCCUCUGGAUAGCCAGGCCUGCGCAACAGGGGAUUUAGUCGGUUAGAUUUUGGCUUUCCCUACUCACAGGCGAGGGCAAUUGCAGAGAUAUUCCAGUGCAGAAAGUAGCUGGCAUCUGUUUGGUUCUGGG
ensembl:lncRNA